rnacentral:rRNA from 1 species
UACAUGGGGUGCAAACGUUGCUCGGAAUUACUGGGCGUAAAGCGUGCGCAGGCGGUUUGCUAAGACAGGUGUGAAAUCCCCGGGCUUAACCUGGGAACUGCAUUUGUGACUGCAUGGCUAGAGUACGGUAGAGGGGGAUGGAAUUCCGCGUGUAGCAGUGAAAUGCGUAGAUAUGCGGAGGAACACCGAUGGCGAAGGCAAUCCCCUGGACCUGUACUGACGCUCAUGCACGAAAGCGUGGGGAGCAAACAGG